rnacentral:rRNA from 1 species
GACGGGGGGGGCAAGCGUUGUUCGGAAUUACUGGGCGUAAAGGGCUCGUAGGCGGCCAACUAAGUCAGACGUGAAAUCCCUCGGCUUAACCGGGGAACUGCAUCUGAUACUGGAUGGCUUGAGUUCGGGAGAGGGAUGCGGAAUUCCAGGUGUAGCGGUGAAAUGCGUAGAUAUCUGGAGGAACACCGGUGGCGAAGGCGGCAUCCUGGACCGACACUGACGCUGAGGAGCGAAAGCCAGGGGAGCAAACGGG